rnacentral:rRNA from 1 species
UACGAAGGGGGCUAGCGUUGUUCGGAAUCACUGGGCGUAAAGGGCGCGUAGGCGGCUUUAUAAGUCGGGGGUGAAAGCCUGUGGCUCAACCACAGAAUUGCCUUCGAUACUGUAGAGCUUGAGACCGGAAGAGGUUAGUGGAACUGCGAGUGUAGAGGUGAAAUUCGUAGAUAUUCGGAAGAACACCAGUGGCGAAGGCGACUCACUGGCCCAUUACUGACGCUGAGGCGCGAAAGCGUGGGGAGCAAACAGG